CCUACGGGUGACAGCAGUGAGGAAUAUUGGUCAAUGGGCGCGAGCCUGAACCAGCCAAGUCGCGUGAGGGAAGACGGUCCUAUGGAUUGUAAACUUCUUUUGUCGGGGAGCAAAAGACGCCACGCGUGGCGUUCCGAGAGUACCCGAAGAAAAAGCAUCGGCUAACUCCGUGCCAGCAGCCGCGGUAAUACGGAGGAUGCGAGCGUUAUCCGGAUUUAUUGGGUUAAAAGGGUGCGCAGGCGGAAGAUCAAGUCAGCGGGAAAAUUGAGAGGCUCAACCUCGUCGAGCCGUUGAAACUGGUUGUCUUGAGUGAACGAGAGGUAUGCGGAAUGCGUGGUGUAGCGGUGAAAUGCAUAGAUAUCACGCAGAACUCCGAUGGCGAAGGCAGCAUACCGGCGCUCAACUGACGCUCAUGCACGAAAGUGUGGGUAUCAAACAGGAUUAGAUACCCCGGUAGUC
rnacentral:rRNA from 1 species